rnacentral:rRNA from 1 species
UACGAAGGGGGCAAGCGUUGUUCGGAAUUACUGGGCGUAAAGCGUGCGUAGGCGGUUAUUCAAGUCAGAGGUGAAAGCCCGGGGCUCAACCCCGGAACGGCCUUUGAAACUAGGUAACUAGAAUCUUGGAGAGGUUAGUGGAAUUCCGAGUGUAGAGGUGAAAUUCGUAGAUAUUCGGAAGAACACCAGUGGCGAAGGCGACUAACUGGACAAGUAUUGACGCUGAGGUACGAAAGCGUGGGGAGCAAACAGG